rnacentral:misc_RNA from 1 species
AGCAGCCGCGGUAAUUCCAGCUCCAAUAGCGUAUAUUAAAGUUGUUGCAGUUAAAAAGCUCGUAGUUGAAUUUCGGGAUCAAUUAAUUGGUCGUGCCUCUGGUACGUACUGGUUUUAUUGGUUUCUCCCUUCUGACGAACCAUGAUGUCAUUAAUUUGGUGUCGUGGAGAAUCAGGACUGUUACUUUGAAAAAAUUAGAGUGUUUAAAGCAAGCUAACGCUUGAAUACAUUAGCAUGGAAUAAUGAAAUAGGACGUUUGAUCCUAUUUUGUUGGUUUCUAGGAUCGACGUAAUGAUUAAUAGGGAUAGUUGGGGGCAUUAGUAUUCAAUUGUCAGAGGUGAAAUUCUUGGAUUUAUUGAAGACUAACUACUGCGAAAGCAUUUGCCAAGGAUGUUUUCAUUAAUCAAGAACGAAAGUUAGGGAUCGAAGACGAUCAGAUACCGUCGUAGUCUUAACCAUAAACUAUGCCGACUAGGGAUCGGAUGAUGUUAAUUUUUUAAUGACUCAUUCGGCGCCUUAC